GUACUGUGGGCCUGAUCCAAAGCCUAUUGAAAUCCAUGGGAGUCUUUCCAUUGAUUUCAGCGGGUUUUGGAUCAGACAGUGAUUUAC
rnacentral:pre_miRNA from 1 species